AGGACGAACGCUGGCGGCGUGCUUAACACAUGCAAGUCGAGCGGAAAGGCCCUUCGGGGUACUCGAGCGGCGAACGGGUGAGUAACACGUGAGUGACCUGCCCCUAGCUCUGGGAUAGCUCCGGGAAAACCGGGAUUAAUACCAGAUACGACCACUUUAGACAUCUGUCGUGGUGGAAAGGAUUCCGGCUAGGGAUGGGCUCGCGGCCUAUCAGCUUGUUGGUGGGUAACGGCCUACCAAGGCGACGACGGGUA
rnacentral:rRNA from 1 species